rnacentral:rRNA from 1 species
GACGAACGCUGGCGGCGUGCUUAACACAUGCAAGUCGAGCGGUAAGGCUCCUUCGGGAGUACACGAGCGGCGAACGGGUGAGUAACACGUGAGCAAUCUGCCCUUCUCAUCGGAAUAACCGUGGGAAACCGCGUCUAAUGCCGAAUACGACCUCCUUUCGCAUGAUCGGAGGUGGAAAGCUCCGGCGAGAGAAGGAUGAGCUCGCGGACUAUCAGCUAGUUGGUGAGGUAACUGCCCAACAAGGGGACGACGGGCAGCCGGCCUGAGAGGGCGACCGGCGCAACUGGGACGAAGACACGGCCCAGACUGCUACGUGGGGGAGCAGUGGGGAAUAUUGGACAAUGGGCGAAAGCUUGAUCCAGCAACGCCGCGUGAGGGAUGACGUCCUUCGGGUUGUAAACCUCUUUCAGCGGGGACGAAGCGAAAGUGACGGUACCUGCAGAAGAAGGACCGGCCAACUACGUGCCAGCAGCCGCGGUAAUAC